rnacentral:rRNA from 1 species
UACGAAGGUGGCAAGCGUUGUUCGGAUUUACUGGGCGUAAAGGGCGCGUAGGCGGUUCGGUAAGCCCUCUGUGAAAUCUCCAGGCUUAACCUGGAACAGUCGGAGGGGACUGCUGGGCUAGAGGACGGGAGAGGAGCGCGGAAUUCCCGGUGUAGCAGUGAAAUGCGUAGAGAUCGGGAGGAAGGCCGGUGGCGAAGGCGGCGCUCUGGAACGUUUCUGACGCUGAGGCUCGAAAGCGUGGGGAGCAAACAGG